rnacentral:rRNA from 1 species
AUUGAACGCUGGCGGCAGGCUUAACACAUGCAAGUCGAGCGGAGAUGAGGUGCUUGCACCUUAUCUUAGCGGCGGACGGGUGAGUAAUGCUUAGGAAUCUGCCUAUUAGUGGGGGACAACAUUCCGAAAGGAAUGCUAAUACCGCAUACGUCCUACGGGAGAAAGCAGGGGACCUUCGGGCCUUGCGCUAAUAGAUGAGCCUAAGUCGGAUUAGCUAGUUGGUGGGGUAAAGGCCUACCAAGGCGACGAUCUGUAGCGGGUCUGAGAGGAUGAUCCGCCACACUGGGACGGAGACACGGCCCAGACUCCUACGGGAGGCAGCAGUGGGGAAUAUUGGACAAUGGGCGGAAGCCUGAUCCAGCCAUGCCGCGUGUGUGAAGAAGGCCUUUUGGUUGUAAAGCACUUUAAGCGAGGAGGAGGCUACUUAGAUUAAUACUCUAGGAUAGUGGACGUUACUCGCAGAAUAAGCACCGGCUAACUCUGUGCCAGCCGCCGCGGUAAAAC